rnacentral:rRNA from 1 species
UGGGGAAUUUUGGACAAUGGGCGAAAGCCUGAUCCAGCAAUGCCGCGUGUGUGAAGAAGGCCUUCGGGUUGUAAAGCACUUUUGUCCGGAAAGAAAUGGCUCUGGUUAAUACCUGGGGUCGAUGACGGUACCGGAAGAAUAAGGACCGGCUAACUACGUGCCAGCAGCCGCGGUAAUACGUAGGGUCCAAGCGUUAAUCGGAAUUACUGGGCGUAAAGCGUGCGCAGGCGGUUGUGCAAGACCGAUGUGAAAUCCCCGAGCUUAACUUGGGAAUUGCAUUGGUGACUGCACGGCUAGAGUGUGUCAGAGGGGGGUUAGAAUUCCACGUGUAGCAGUGAAAUGCGUAGAGAUGUGGAGGAAUACCGAUGGCGAAGGCAGCCCCCUGGGAUAACACUGACGCUCAUGCACGAAAGCGUGGGGAGCAAACAGGAUUAGAUACCCUGGUAGUCCACGCCCUAAACGAUGUCAACUAGUUGUUGGGGGAUUCAUUUUCCUUAGUAACGUAGCUAACGCGUGAAGUUGGACCGCCUGGGGAGUACGGUCGCAAGAUUAAAAGCUC